rnacentral:sRNA from 1 species
CAGAGGAGUGACACGCUCACGCAGCUUAGCAGGAUCCUUCUUGCUGCUGAGCUGAGAAGAGAGUGUAGGAACAAAGGGGUGGCACUUGCUCCCUUGGUAACCACUCAGGCAGGAAUUGGUGGUGGGUCUCACAAAGGAGCUGACCCUGAACAUUAACCUAACUAACUCCGGGGAAGAUUCCUACCUGACAAGCAUGGCCUUGAAUUACCCCAGAAACCUGCAGUUUAAGAGGAUGCAAAAGCCUCCCUCUCCAAACAUUCAGUGUGAUGACCCUCAGCCGGUUGCUUCUGUCCUGAUCAUAAACUGCAGGAUUGGUCACCCCGUCCUCAAGAGGUCAUCUGCUCAUGUUUCAGUCGUUUGGCAGCUAGAGGAGAAUGCCUUUCCAAACAGGACAGCGGACAUCACUGUGACCGUCACCAAACCAUCCAUAACAUACGUGAACACGGGCCAGGGGCUUUCUCACCACAAAGAAUUCCUCUUCCAUGUAAGUACCUAUCAUUGCAAAGCUAUAGGUGGCAAAGCAAGACCAGCUUUGAUUUCUUACUCUGAUUUUAAUUUGCAGAUACAUGGGGAAAACCUCUUUGGAGCAGAAUACCAGUUGCAAAUUUGUGUCCCAACCAAAUUACGAGGUCUCCAGAUUGCAACAGUGAAGAACCUGACGAGGACUCAGCAGGACUCCCUCAUAUUCUUCCCAUCUGCCCCAAACUCAGAAUCCUCAGGGGUUCCUGAGUUCAUAAGGCCAAAGAGAGCUGACCUGAGGCUGGCACGGGUUUGAUGGACCAUCCUGGUGUCCUUGGCUCCUCCUGUCGCUUCCUCCUGGGAGCAGGGGAGAGAUGCUCGGUCCAGGGAGACUUCUGGGAGGUGGAGGCCGCUCGGGACGGCUGAGGCUGCAACCAGAGAGGCGGAGGUGCCGAUCGAGAUGACACUGUCCCUUGGCGUUGGGGACCCGGGGCAGGGCGAGGCCAGAGAGCUGAACAGGGAGGCACUGGUGCCCAGCUCGUCGCCGUCCCUGGGCUGGCCGCACACGCUGAGGUCCGGGCUGAGGCGGCCGGAGUCGCGGCUGGGGAAGGGCGGAAGUCGGAGCGGGCCGCAGGGUG